UUCAACCAAUUAAUCAAACGUACUCGAUACCAAAACGUAUAGGGUGGGCAGCCUUAGUAUCGAUUGUCUGAAAUUCGGAAACCAAAACCCUAGUUUUUCAAUUGGAUUGAAUUUACCCCCUUUUCUUGUCCAAUUCUCACUACCAAUCAACAAUGGCGGACGCUUUCUGGAGGUACGGUGAUAACAGGCAGCCGGCGGUGUCGCUUCCAGCUCAGAUGGCUGCGAAACGGACUCGUUCCGAGUUUGAGAUGCCAAGUGGACAAGACACAUCAAGCUACUAUACACCCGGCAAUGAAAGGCCAGGAAAUGUUGUCUCUAGAGAUACUGACUCUGUCAAUGCAUCAUAUGAACGCUACUUGCGUAGUUUGCAAGUUCCAUCAUAUGGUGGUCAAACUGGAAGACCUGGUACUGGUGGGCUUGAUGGUGUUCAUGAAAUUGAUGAUCUUAGGGUCCUAGGAAUGGUACAAUCAGGCCCAGCAGCUGCUCCACAAAGCCGGUUAAUGGGAGUGGGUGGACGACCUGAAAUUUCACUCCCUCCUGAUGCUAGCAGCACAUUGUUUGUGGAGGGAUUACCUGCGAACUGUACUCGCAGAGAAGUGUCUCACAUAUUCCGCCCUUUUGUGGGCUACAAGGAAGUAAGGCUUGUAAACAAAGCACCAAGAAAUCCUGGGGGAGAUCCUGUGGUGCUUUGCUUUGUUGAUUUUGAGAGUCCAGCUCACGCGGCAACAGCAAUGGAUGCUCUGCAAGGUUACAUAUUUGAUGAGCACGAGCGGGAUUCAGGCCACUUAAGGGUUCAAUUUGCCCGCAAUCCUCCUGGUCCAAGGUUAGGUGGUGGGCAUCGUGGUAACCGUUGAGAUUGGUUUGACAGGUAUUAGAAUCAAAUAUAAAACAAAACAAAUAUUGCUAACGUGGACUAUCGGAGAUCGGUGCUUACACAUGGUGCUCACAAGUGUUAUACACGGAGCGGAGCCUGCCAUUUGGUUGGACAGUAUAGUAUCUUGCUUGGUUAUGGCAGAAUGAUGCGCUCUCCCACAGCAUUUCCACUAGAGGAUUGGAUGCAGCCAAAGGUAGAUAAAGAAAAAAGUUAUUUAUGAGCAAAUAAAUGAGGGGACGAGGACAAACAAAUAUAGGUGAAAGAGGUUUCUUUUGAGGAACGAUACUUGUGCUAUGUUCCGAAGGUAGAUAAAGAAAAAAAGUUAUUUAUGAGCAAAUAAAUGAGGGGACGAGGACAAACAAAUUUAGAUGAAAGAGGUUCCUUUGAGGAACGGCACUUGUGCUAUGUUACACUGAAGUUUUCUGUGCCGAAUCGCAUUCACUUGGAUACUAAUAUUAAUAUAUAUGAGCCUAGUAACUGAAUGACGUGAUCUUGUCUUAAGCACCAUGUCUAAAGCCAGAUUGCUGGUUUAACAGAAUAGGAAAUGGUGCUUGUGCAUAACCAGCGCGUACAUUGUUUUGGCCUCUUUGUAUAAAGUUGUAGAGUGUGGCCGGUGCCGUCUCCAUUUUCUGGGAGACAGCAUUAUGUGAAGCUUCCAUUUAGGUGUUGCAUUUUGAUGCCUUGAUGUGAAGGUGCAAAUUUGUACUACCUGAUUUCUUGUUUCUUUUCCAUGUGUGAAGAGAGAUUUAGCUCAUUUCUGUAUAAUAUUCAAUCUCCAGUUAUAUGCUUGUAUUUUUGGGGGAAAUCAAGAAGGGCUGAAAAUGACAUAUUGACAUUAUAUGUUGUUCAUAAAAUAAUAUAAUAUGUUAGUUUUCUUUGA